CAGGUGUUUUGUCACAGAGAUGGAAAGCUCACAGCACUUCAGCUUUGUGACUGUGACACCUGGCAGACCAUGUUACUUCCCUGACCUUCGGUGUCCCUAGCUGUGAAAUGGCAUCACUGACCUGCUUAGGAUGAAAUCAAAUGAGAAAAUGGACAUGAACAUUCUUUGCUCUUGUUAAAGCUCUGAGUGAUUCCACAUGGAAUGCUGCAGGCUCUGAAUCAUUUUGAUGGAUACAACUUGACAUCGACCAAUUUGCCUAAUUCAUCACCUUUGCAUGCUUUAAUACUAAAGACAAGGGUCUCUCUGCGUUGCUGAGCCUGGCCUGGAAAUUGUGAUCCUCCUCUUUUAGCCUCCUGAGUAGCCGAGAUUACAGCCAAAGGAACACAGAGAAGAGAGGCGAGGCUGACACCAGGUCAGCAUGCCGGGAGCACGGAAGGCAGAGCUCAGCCUUGGAUGAGGAGAAAGGUGACCCAUGGAAUUUUGAGAAAGAGCAGCUCCAGCCUAAGGUCUACAGAUCGGUGAUUUCCACUUAUGAACUGAGGUGAGAAGACUGAGUCUGAGCUACUAAAGCCACACCCAUUGGGACCCAGCUGACAGAAGGAAGUACCUCCGCUUCAGUCCACAGGAGGUCCUCUCAGUACCCUCCACCUCCCUCACCAUCUCCCUGUACCCCGGAGGGAAGAGGGAGAAUCCAGACCCCCAGGAAUGAUGCUGACUGCUCAUUAGCCUGAAGGAGAAAAAGUGGAUGCAUAGCUCUCUCUUGUUUAAAGGAACAAUUUGUACUGAUUAGGAAAGGCAUUUGUUCAAGUCUGCAAAUCCUUUUAAGAACUAGAAUCCACUUCUGUUCUGAAAAGGCCUGCACUCAGAGCUUCUAACUGAUGAUAAUUACUAGUCCAUUAUUCUCUUGUGGAGCCCUUGGCCCUGCAGAGCACCUUGAGGGGUAAUGCCUGCAGGCCCAGUGCUGCCCAGCAAGACUCCUGAAGCUCCUCCCUUAGGAACCAAUGUCAAGGGCUCCAGGAGAAACCAGCAACAGCCCCACUGUGGUCUGAAACUUGUGCUUUUUGCCAGAUAAAAUACA